rnacentral:rRNA from 1 species
CACAUGCAAGCCGAGCGGGAUUUGUUGGUUAGCUUGCUAACUGAUAAUGAGAGCGGCGUACGGGUGCGGAACAUGUGUGCAAUCUGCCCUUAUCAAGGGGAUAGCCCAGAGAAAUCUGGAUUAAUACCCUAUAACAUAUGGGAUAGCAUCAUUUCAUAUUAAAAGCUACGGCGGAUAAGGAUGAGCACGCACAAGAUUAGCUAGUUGGUAAGGUAACGGCUUACCAAGGCGACGAUCUUUAGGGGGCCUGAGAGGGUGAUCCCCCACACUGGGACUGAGACGCGGCCCAGACUCCUACGGGAGGCAGCAGUGAGGAAUAUUGGACAAUGGGUGGAAGCUUGAUCCAGCCAUCCCGCGUGCAGGACGACUGCCCUAUGGGUUGUAAACUGCUUUUAUAUAGGGAUAAACCUACUCUCGUGAGGGUAGCUGAAGGUACUAUAUGAAUAAGCACCGGCUAACUCCGUGCCAGCAGCCGCGGUAAUACGGAGGGUGCAAGCGUUAUCCGGAUUUAUUGGGCUUAAAGGGUCCGUAGGUGGGCUGAUAAGUCAGCGGUGAAAUCCUGCAGCUUAACUGUAGAACUGCCGUUGAUACUGUUAGUCUUGAGUGUAUUUGAAGUGGCUGGAAUAAGUAGUGUAGCGGUGAAAUGCAUAGAUAUUACUUAGAACACCAAUUGCGAAGGCAGGUCACUAAGAUACAACUGACGCUGAGGGACGAAAGCGUGGGGAGCGAACAGGAUUAGAUACCCUGGUAGUCCACGCUGUAAACGAUGCUAACUCGUUUUUGGUUUUUAUGAAUCAGAGACUAAGCGAAAGUGAUAAGUUAGCCACCUGG